rnacentral:rRNA from 1 species
UGGGGAAUAUUGCACAAUGGGCGCAAGCCUGAUGCAGCAACGCCGCGUGAGGGAUGACGGCCUUCGGGUUGUAAACCUCUUUUAGUAGGGAAGAAGCGAAAGUGACGGUACCUGCAGAAAAAGCACCGGCUAACUACGUGCCAGCAGCCGCGGUAAUACGUAGGGUGCGAGCGUUGUCCGGAAUUAUUGGGCGUAAAGAGCUCGUAGGCGGUCUGUCGCGUCUGCUGUGAAAACCCGAGGCUCAACCUCGGGCCUGCAGUGGGUACGGGCAGACUAGAGUGCGGUAGGGGAGAAUGGAAUUCCUGGUGUAGCGGUGGAAUGCGCAGAUAUCAGGAGGAACACCGAUGGCGAAGGCAGUUCUCUGGGCCGUAACUGACGCUGAGGAGCGAAAGCGUGGGGAGCGAACAGGAUUAGAUACCCUGGUAGUCCACGCCGUAAACGUUGGGCGCUAGAUGUGGGGACCAUUCCACGGUUUCCGUGUCGCAGCUAACGCAUUAAGCGCCCCGCCUGGGGAGUACGGCCGCAAGGCUAAAACUUAAAUGAAUUGACGGGGUCAUAGCUGUUUCCU